UUACGACCGUAUCACGUCGAAACACCAGUUCAUAUUCGAUCAGCGAAGUUAAGCAAAGUUGAGCCUGGUCAUUACCUAGAUGGGUGACCGCGCGGGAAAAGCA